AGCAGGGGAUAACACCUGGAAACAGAUGCUAAUACCGUAUAACAGAGAAAACCGCCUGGUUUUCUUUUAAAAGAUGGCUCUGCUAUCACUUCUGGAUGGACCCGCGGCGCAUUAGCUAGUUGGUGAGGUAACGGCUCACCAAGGCGAUGAUGCGUAGCCGACCUGAGAGGGUAAUCGGCCACAUUGGGACUGAGACACGGCCCAGACUCCUACGGGAGGCAGCAGUAGGGAAUCUUCCACAAUGGACGCAAGUCUGAUGGAGCAACGCCGCGUGAGUGAAGAAGGGUUUCGGCUCGUAAAGCUCUGUUGUUAAAGAAGAACGUGGGUGAGAGUAACUGUUCACCCAGUGACGGUAUUUAACCAGAAAGCCACGGCUAACUACGUGCCAGCAGCCGCGGUAAUACGUAGGUGGCAAGCGUUAUCCGGAUUUAUUGGGCGUAAAGCGAGCG
rnacentral:rRNA from 1 species